CGACAACAAUGAGCUUGCAUCAUAAUCACUCAGAACUUAAGCAGCCACGCCAAGGCACAGUGUUGUGUGACAGCAAAAAGCAGCGCGUAAUUUCGAUGAUUCUGUAAGGAGUUAUUCUGCCAACGAGGUCGCAUCUUUUGUUCGAGGGGUCACCGGAAAUGGCGUCGCAAUGGCCGAAAUCAAAAUUUUUUUUGUUUGUAACAAUCAAAAAUUCUAAUAAAAAAUUUCGUUUUUUAUAUGAGAAAAUAA